UACGAAGGGGGCUAGCGUUGUUCGGAAUUACUGGGCGUAAAGGGCGCGUAGGCGGUGUGUCAAGUCAGGCGUGAAAGCCCCGGGCUCAACCUGGGAACAGCGCUUGAGACUGGCACGCUCGAGUUCGGGAGAGGAUGGUGGAAUUCCCAGUGUAGAGGUGAAAUUCGUAGAUAUUGGGAAGAACACCGAUGGCGAAGGCAGCCAUCUGGACCGACACUGACGCUGAGGAGCGAAAGCCAGGGGAGCAAACGGGG
rnacentral:rRNA from 1 species